CUGGCGGCAGGCCUAACACAUGCAAGUCGAGCGCACUCUUCGGAGUGAGCGGCGGACGGGUUAGUAACGCGUGGGAACAUACCCUUUUCUACGGAAUAGCCUCGGGAAACUGAGAGUAAUACCGUAUACGCCCUUUUGGGGAAAGAUUUAUCGGAGAAGGAUUAGCCCGCGUUAGAUUAGGUAGUUGGUGGGGUAAUGGCCUACCAAGCCUACGAUCUAUAGCUGGUUUGAGAGGAUGAUCAGCCACACUGGGACUGAGACACGGCCCAGACUCCUACGGGAGGCAGCAGUAGGGAAUCUUAGACAAUGGGGGCAACCCUGAUCUAGCCAUGCCGCGUGUGUGAUGAAGGCCCUAGGGUCGUAAAGCACUUUCGCCAGAGAUGAUAAUGACAGUAUCUGGUAAAGAAACCCCGGCUAACUCCGUGCCAGCAGCCGCGGUAAUACGGAGGGGGUUAGCGUUGUUCGGAAUUACUGGGCGUAAAGCGCACGUAGGCGGAUUAGUAAGUUAGAGGUGAAAUCCCAGGGCUCAACCCUGGAACUGCCUUUAAUACUGCUAGUCUUGAGUUCGAGAGAGGUAAGUGGAAUUCCGAGUGUAGAGGUGAAAUUCGUAGAUAUUCGGAGGAACACCAGUGGCGAAGGCGGCUUACUGGCUCGAUACUGACGCUGAGGUGCGAAAGUGUGGGGAGCAAACAGGAUUAGAUACCCUGGUAGUCCACACCGUAAACGAUGAAUGCCAGACGUCAGCAAGUAUA
rnacentral:rRNA from 1 species